AAUUGAAUUAAUUGCUCUGCUGACAUGAAUAAAGUUUCUAGAGGAUUGCUAAUUAGAUGCCCAAAUAUAACCAGUCAACUGCAAUGCCUGUUACUUUAGUUUUGGUCUUUUGAUUGAUUAAUAAAAUUCAAGUUUUGGAGUUUUCUCCAACUGGUUUGUUAUAGGAUGAAAAUAAAAAUUGCGAUUGCCAUUGUAGUUGGGCAUUACGGCAACCUAUGCGCGGCGGAGCGCUCGACGAGUUCUUAUCAUUUUUAUUUUAUUUUUUGAUAAAACAAAAAUAAAUGAAUAAAUAAAAUAAAAGGAACAAUGGCAUUUCAAAUCUUAGUACUGAAGUUUAUUUCACAUUACUAUUUUUUUCUAAAUAGAUUAAUUCAAUCAGCAUGUUACCAAAGUAACCACUCUAUUAAUUUAUUUGGAAUAUUAGGAAGGUCAUAUGUACAUAAUUUAUGCGGAUAUUCAUUGGCACAAAGGAAUAUUAGGAAGGUCGUGUGUACGUAAAUUAUGGAUAAAGAAUGGGUGUGUCUUAACAGGCAAUUUAUACUUUGUCAUGUAAUUUAUAUACUUUAUAUUUUAAGAUAAUAUCUUAGAACAUUGUCUUUUAAAAUUGUUAAGGCCUCACAAGAGUACAUAAAAGCUUCGAAAAUGUUUGUCAUUACUGCUCAUCAUAAUUUAGGCAGACCAGAUAAAAUUUUAUGUACUUGUAAAGGUUGUCGAAACUUAAGCCAUCAAUAUGUAAUAUCGUUCACGAGCAUCUAGUCAUAAGAGGAAUGGAUCCGACUUACACAAAUUGGUUUCAACAUGGAGAAAGAUUAAUUAGUAAUAUUGAUAUUACAAAUAAGACGAAAAUAUUCAACUUGUUUGAAGCUGCACAUACGAAUGAAGAACAUAACAAGGAAGUUUUUGAAGAGAAUUUGGAUGAUGACAUUAGUCGAUUGGUGAAGGAUGCUAAAACUCCGUUGUAUCCUGAAAAUGAAAAAUACACAAACCUAUCUUCAAUUGUGACCUUUAGAUAAGCUUAAAACUAUUAGUAGUUGGUCAGAUAAUAGCUUUACAGUACUUCUAAACACAUUACAUGAUAUGUUACCUGAAGGUAAUGUAAUUCCUACAUCGACAAUAUGCGUAAGAAAAUUUCUAAAGACAUUUGAUUUAGGCUAUGAGAAGAUUCAUGCAUGUGUUAAUAAUUGAUGUUUGUUUAGAAACGAUAAAAAAGAAUUAGAUAGCUAUCCAAAAUGUGAUUCUUCGAGAUGGAAGGUCAAUAAGCAUACACAAAAGCGUAAAAAUGGUGUACCUGCUAAAGUCUUAAGAUACUUUCCUAUAAAACCUAGAUUCCAAAGGAUGUUUAGUAAACUGAAGAUGGCUGAAUCAUUAAUAUGGCAUUCAACCAAUUAGAGUGUUGAUGGUGAAAUGUGUCAUCCAGUAGAUUCUCCAUCUUGGGCUUUAAUUGACAACAAGUGGCCAGAGUUUGCAAAUAAUCCACGCAAUCUUAGGCUUGGGCUUGCUACAGAUGGUUUCAAUCCAUUCAACAAUUUUAGCUCUACAUAUAGUUGUUGGCCAGUGAUGUUGGUCAUUUAUAAUCUACCACAAUGGUUAUGUAUGAAAAAAGAAAAUAUCAUGUUGUCAUUGUUAAUUCCAGGGCCUAAACAGCCUCGGAAUGAUAUUGAUAUAUAUUUGCAACCACUUGUAGAUGACUUGAACGAAUUGUGGAAUAUUGGGAUGAAUAUGUAUGAUGCACACACUAAUGCAGUUUUCAACUUGAGAGCAAUACUUAUGUGGACUAUUAAUGAUUUACCAGCUCUUGGAAAUUUAGCUGGAUGUAAAAUUAAAGGUAGGACAAGUUGCCCUAUAUGUUCUGAGAAUAGUCACUCACAGCGGUUAAAAUUUAGUAGAAAAUUUACAUACAUAGGUCAUAGGAGAUUUUGUCACCAUAUCAUCCGUUAAGGAAAAAUAAAUCUUGGUUUGAUGGACAUGAAGAAAAGGAAACCAAACCUAAAAUUAUGUCUGGUAGCAACAUUCUGGUUACUCUUAAAGAUUAUGUCAACAAUUUUGGGAAAGCUCGGAAACGAAAAAGAAAGACAGAUAAUGGGAGCAUGCUAACAUGGAAAAAGAGAUCAAUCUUUUUAACUUACCAUAUUGGGAGGUAAGAUUUUCGCAUUCUCCAACUCUUAUUCAACUUCUUUCAAUUAUUUGAAUAUACUUUUUUUAUGAAACUAACAAAAUCUUUUUGCUUUGUUACAUUAUUAGGUGCUACCAUGACGUCAUAAAUUUGGAUGUAAUGCACAUUAAGAAAAAUGUAUGUGAAAGCAUUAUUGGUAAAUUUUAGACAUAAAUGAUAAACAAAAGAUGGAUUAAAUGCUCGUAAGGAUUUACAAGACAUGGAAAUUAGGAAGGAGUUACAUCUAGAGGAACGAGGUAAUAGAAUAUACCUUCCUCCUGUUCCACAUACGUUGUCAAGGUUAGAGAAACAAACAUUUUGUAAGAGGUUGUUUAACUUGAAAUUACCUAAUGGGUACAGUUCAAAUGUAGCCACUUGUAUAUCAGUAGAUGAAUGCAAAAUUAUUGGCCUCAAGUCACAUGAUUGUCAUGUCCUCAUGCAACAACUUUUGGCUGUAUCAUUAAGAGGAUUACUUACAAAAGGACCAAGACAUGCAAUUUUAGACUAUGAACAUUCUUCAAUAGAUUAUGCCAACAUAUUGUUGAUAGAGAGAAAAUAGCAAUAUUAGAAGACGAAGUACUUGAAACCUUAUGCAGUCUUGAAAGAUUAUUUCCUCUUGCAUUUUUGAUAUCAUGAUACAUUUGGUGGUACAUUUGGGAAGAGAAGUACGAUUAUGUGGUCCAGUUCACUAUCGCUGGAUGUAUCCUUUUGAGAGAUAUAUGAAGAUAUUCAAAGGACAUGUGAGAAAUCGCGCACGGCCUAGAGGUUGCAUAACUAAAUGUUAUCUUGCAGAUGAGUGCAUGAAAUUUUGUACCGAGUUUAUGAAACAAGUAAGAGAAAUUGAUCAUCGAGAGGGGCGCAACGAAGAUUAUGUUAGCAAUGAAAUUACUAAGGGAUGUCCCAUUUCUGCUCCAAAUUUUAUUACACUAAGUAAUGAAAUGUUAGAGAUAGCACAUCGUUAUGUAUUAUUCAAUACAUCUUAUGUGGAACCUUAUUUGGAAUAAGUCAUCCACUUUUUAUAU